rnacentral:rRNA from 1 species
AACUGAAGAGUUUGAUCAUGGCUCAGAUUGAACGCUGGCGGCAGGCUUAACACAUGCAAGUCGAGCGGGGGAAGGUAGCUUGCUACUGGACCUAGCGGCGGACGGGUGAGUAAUGCUUAGGAAUCUGCCUAUUAGUGGGGGACAACAUCUCGAAAGGGAUGCUAAUACCGCAUACGUCCUACGGGAGAAAGCAGGGGAUCUUCGGACCUUGCGCUAAUAGAUGAGCCUAAGUCGGAUUAGCUAGUU